GCCUCCUCCUGGGCGGAAAGAUGCUGGAACUCAUAAUUGCGAAAGUGGGCGAGCGGAAGACGGAGAUGGGGAAGGGGGUGUGCGCACUGCAUCCCCGCCGUUAACUUGGGUGCUCACCUCCGAAAGGGUAGUCCUUUCCUCCACUCUACCCAGCUAGGUCUUCAGUUCAACAGGCUUUAUUGAAUAGCUACUGUGUGCUACCCAAGCCCCGGUAGUACAAAGUUGAGUAAGACAGUCUGAGCACCCAGGAAUCCCCGAGAUGGACCCGUGAACAAACCCGCACAACACAAAACAAGCCGUUUGAGAAGCUGUGCCAGACACAGGCCGGAGCGACCUCCUGUGCCUGGAAGGCUAACACGAUAGUGCCCGAAUAAGGUCUGAAGAAUGAAGAGUUCAUUCCAGUGCGUUAGGCAGAGAGCCGGAAGGAGGAUAUUCCCGGAAGAAGGAACAGCGAAGGUGGUCACCAAAGGUCAACUGCAAGUGACCUGUUAACAAGACCAGUGCUAGCAGAAGUGUGAUCAACCCAAAGAUCGUUUCAGCAAGGCUCCGUCAAGUAACUUUCCGGGCUUGUUUCCUCGUUGGCCAAUGCAGAUGAAGUCACAGGUGCGCCGCCAUCUCUGAAUUGUUGUGCAGGUCUGAGCGCAUCUCGGUAUGAACACACUGCAGGACCGAGAGGCAGAGGUGCAGGAGCGUGUGUGGGAGUCGUUUCCCCAGUGCCCUCCUGCUCUCCUCUCCCUGAGCUGUGGGGGUCGCUCACACUGACUUCAAAUCCCAGCUCCACAGUUUACUAGCUGUAUAAAUUUGGUAAGUUGCUCAGUCUCUUCUCUUUUGGGAAGUGAUUAUGACGCUGUGCAUGGUGGCUGGGACUAUUGACUGUGUGAUGCCUCUCACAUGGUCUGAUGCACAAGUGUGUUCUUAUGGUCACACAAAUCCUUUCCAUCCUGUACAUGUUUCAUGAAGAUUAAUGGGAAGAAUGGUGUUGCUUUUGAUAAAAUAUAUUGGAGAUGAACAAAUGAUCAGUUUAUGAUAAAGUCACAAUAAAUAUUUCUAUAUUUUAAAUAUUAA